rfam:Couchioplanes caeruleus subsp. caeruleus strain DSM 43634 Cont601, whole genome shotgun sequence.
ACCGGUCCUCGGUAGUGGUUCCCGGGCGAUUUCCCGGGCACUUCGAUCGAAGACCGGC